AACAGGAAGUUUCGGCAGGCGCACACCAUUCUUUACAAUAAAGAAAACGCCUGAACUGUGCUGUCCUUUUCUCUUUAUUACUACAGAUUAAGUCUGAGGCCGGUAACAUCAACAGUGAGGCCAAACCCAGCCUGCCUCUCUCCUUCCACACUGAGUCCAAACCUACAGUCACUGGGUCCUGAUUGUGACAGUGGAGCCCAGUUUGCACUGCAGGAUCCAGAGAUGGCAUCAGUGAAGCUGGAAGACUGCAGUCAAACACUGGAGCUGAAUGUCAACAUUAAAGAUGAAGAAGAGGAGGAGAAGAUUGGGAAAUCUGUUUCUCAUGGAGACCAUGUUGAGACAGCCUCUACCUCCAGAGAGCAACAGCAGGAAGAUCACAGAGCUAAGAGGUCUCACCACUGCCCACGUUGUAAGGAGAGUUUCUCAAUUCUAUCAAAGUUAAAAAUACACCUAAAAAUACACACAGGA